UGUAUCAGAAUGAAUCUCAUAGGUGGAAUGAUAGCAUGGUGUAUACAAGUUAUCUUUAAAGGACAGAAAAGAAACCAGGUAAAAGCAACAGCCAUGGAUUCAACUCUCAGUUUGCCUCUUUCCAUUGCAGAGCCACAACCAAAAGUCCAAGGGCAGCAGGAUGCUGGCUACCAGACCCAACACCCAGGGUGUGCAGCAUCCUGGAUGAUAUUUAGAAAACUUUCAUGGGCAGAACUCACUGGGGACAGCAAGCAGCCCACAGCCCAAUGAAGAGA